rnacentral:rRNA from 1 species
GACGAACGCUGGCGGCGUGCUUAACACAUGCAAGUCGAGCGAGCGGCGGACGGGUGAGUAAUGUAUGGGGAUCUGCCUGAUGGAGGGGGAUAACUACUGGAAACGGUAGCUAAUACCGCAUACCAUCAGAUGAACCCAUAUGGGAUUAGCUUGUAGGUGAGGUAACGGGUCACCUAGGCGACGAGCCCUAGCUGGUCUGAGAGGAUGAUCAGGCACACUGGGACUGAGACCGGGCCCGUACUCCGACGGGCGGCAGCAGUGGGGAAUAUUGCACAAUGGGCGCAAGCCUGAUGCAGCCAUGCCGGAGGUAUGAAGAAGGCCUUCGGGUUGUAAAGUACUUUCAGGCAGGAGGCGUUACUGGCAGAAGGAGCACCGGCUAGCUCCGUGCCAGCCGCCGCGGUAAUUC